UGUAGCUUGCAUACGAGACAGUUCUCUUACGAGGCCUGUCAUCGGAAUGGGUACAAUCUAAACCCUUUAACGAGUAUCUAUGAGAGGGCAAGUCUGGUGCCAGCAGCCGCGGUAAUUCCAGCUCUCAAAAUGCAUAGAAUUAUUGCUGCGGUUAAAAAGCUCGUAGUUGGAUCUGUGCUGGCGUCCCGGUCCGCCCUCACGGGCGUGCACUGGAUUCGCCGGUUUUCCGCUCAACUCCUGCCAGCGCCCUUCACCGGGUGUCUGGAAAGGGUGAGCAAGUUUACCUUGAACAAAUCAGAGUGCUCAAAACAGGCGUUUCGCUUGAAUGUUCGUGCAUGGAAUAAUAGAAGAGGAUUUCGGUUCAAUUUUAUUGGUUUUAUUGACUGAGAUAAUGGUUAACAGAGACAAACGGGGGCAUUCGUAUUGCUACGUGAGAGGUGAAAUUCUUGGACCGUAGCAAGACGGACUACAGCGAAAGCAUUUGCCAAGAAUGUCUUCAUUAAUCAAGAACGAAAGUCAGAGGUUCGAAGGCGAUCAGAUACCGCCCUAGUUCUGACCGUAAACGAUGCCAACUAGCGAUCCGCCGGCGGAAUUUUUGCCCUGGUGGGGAGCUUCCCGGAAACGAAAGUCUUCCGGUUCCGGGGGAAGUAUGGUUGCAAAGCUGAAACUUAAAGGAAUUGACGGAAGGGCACCACCAGGAGUGGAGCCUGCG
rnacentral:rRNA from 1 species